CCAUAACUUCAUAUAAAUCAGAUCCCUUUUCAAUAUUAUCCCUCAAAAAGUAAUGUUGCACAUCAAUGUGCUUUGUCCUCCAGUAUUGUACCAGGUUCAAGCUGUAAAUACACCAAAGUCUUCAAGAUGUUGCUUGAUCUGUAGUUGUUGAGCAUAAUAAGAAGCAUCAACCACGUAUUCAGCUUCAGCAUUAGAAAGAGACACAAAGUUUG
rnacentral:lncRNA from 1 species